UUGCAUGAGAAUUUUUGCUUCGACAACGC
rnacentral:sRNA from 1 species